rnacentral:sRNA from 1 species
GUUUUCCCUGCGCGUCGCGUAAAAACGUGCCAGGUUCUGCUUGCUGGAACCGUCUAAAACAACCGGAACCCCGGAUUUUCGCUUGCAGAUUCUUGAGGAAGUUUUAUAAUAAAUUCGGAGACCUGGAACAAGCCCUAGUGGUUGGAUUUUUUAUCAAGCAGAAAUGCAUCGAACAACGAGAAUCAAGAUCACUGAGCUAAAUCCCCACCUGAUGUGUGUGCUUUGUGGAGGGUACUUCAUUGAUGCCACAACCAUAAUAGAAUGUCUACAUUCCUGUAAGUACCGAGCUUUAGCUCUCUUUUGUAUCAUGCGUAUUUCACAGUUCGACCUGGAAUUUGAAAACUAUUAAUGAUUCCUGCAAUCUGUGGAAAUGUUGGUACAAAGUGGUGAAGUCAUUUUCUUCUCUUGCAUCUAAUGACUUUUUGUUAAUAUGUAUUGAUUGUAUUACAAGCAUGCAAUAUAUGUGUUCUCAGGAUAUGAAUUAGCUUAUUUAGUUGGAAAUGCCUUUCACCAUCUUGUUUUCUACUAGUUCUGGGUUUCUAACA